CCAUAAACUCAAGGGUUUACGACGUAAACUCCUUGUGUGAGGUUUAUUGAAGAGUAAACUCAUGUAUAGGGUCCUUUGGAACCCUAAACCCAUUAGCCUUGUCCCACAACAACUUAGAUGCAACCCUUAGGACUUAUAACACUUAUACAAAGUGUUUUCAUGUUCUAGAGUGUCCCAACUUAAUUUAUUAGUUAUAAUUUGGCUAAUUAGUUAUAUAUAUGUUCAUUACAUGAUAACUAGGCUUGUGCGUGUGUACAAGUCUCCAUUUGCCACCUAGCACUAUAUCUGACACUUCAAUCCAAUCCACUCACUGCAAGUGAGUUUAUACCCCUUUAACUAAUCUUUGAAAUACUUUAAAUGCUUUAAAUGCUUUAAUGGGGGGGGGAAUACAAGUUGAAUACUUAUAGUUAUUACAUCAAUCACAUGUGAUUAAUAACUACAAAACCAAUGAUUUUAUUUCUGUUCAAACUGUUUAUCAAACUGUUUUACUUCGAACUGCUUUACAAACCCUUUUACUUAUCAAAUACUUUUACUUAAACUAUGUUAUACUUAUUAUAAAUUGCAUGCCCAUAUAUGUAUAGUUAUACAAGCAAUGUUUAAAAGGCUUAGGAAGGUCGUUCGCCCUAUUUCCUUUUCGCGCUUGAGAUGUGGUAUGGUGGGGUAUCGGGUAUCCAUCCGAAGGUCGUUUAACUAUUAGUUAUAUAUCAUGUGUACAUAUAUAGUCAUAAAAGUUCUUCCAAAUUCAUACGUACCAGUUACCAUCGAGGUAGCACAGGAUAAUACUUAUACUAUUGCUAGAACAAUGAGUCAGUUCAUUCAUGAGUCAGUACUUAUUACUAUGAGAACAUAUACAUUACAUUACUAUGAGAACACAUACAUUACAUUACUAUGAGAACAUAUACAGCUAUACAAGAAGAAGAACAUAUACAACUAUACUAGAAAGAGAACAUAUACAACGAUACUAGAACGAUUAACAAUACAUUACAUAUACAUGAAUACGUUAACAUAAUUGUGAUCCACUGUAUCGGAGAAUGCCUUCAAUGUCAUGGCCCGAGUUGUAGCCAGAGUCUCUUGGAGGGAGAGCGUGAGUUUGCGUAUAGAUCUAUACUGGGUUGAUUAUCCUACACCUUGUUGCUAGCUACAGCCGGACCUGCAAGUCUGCGGGUGCCAAACGUCAUACCUUAUUACGACCUAAAUUGUCGUGUAACCUAGUCGAUAGUAUGGUACAAUUUAUCACAUGAUACCUUAAUAUAAAUCCGGUUUAAGGUAGUUAGUAAAGCAGUAGUUCCUAUAAUACAACACUAUAGUACUACAUUAAUUUACCCUUUACAUUUAUUUAGUGAUCAUUUCACUUAAACAUUAAUGUACAAACUAUAUUUUGUUAAUGAUAGUUACACUUGGGAAAUUACACACUUUUACAAUAAACAAACGUACAAAACAGUUACGCCAUGGUAGAAGGCUACUUUUAAUAGAAUAUAUAGGUUUUUUUGAGAGAUUCAAACUUUUACAAACACUUACAAACAUUCACAUACUUUUAUCACCAAUGUUUACAAACUCAUACUUAAAACCACGUUCAAACGUUUUGAUACAAACACCGACACUAAAAUACUUAUGAACUCACCCGCUUAAUGCUGAUAAACUCUUUCAAAAUAACUUGUAUUCUCAGGUCGUCAGUAAACAGGUACCGAUGCCAGCUUUUGAGAAGAUGGAGCGCAUCCAAGACUCAUCUUAUUAUUUUGAUUUACAUUUUUGGUGUCUAUAACUGUAUAGAACACGCUUGUAUUAAAAUUAUAUAUUUAAUGAAAUGGAUGAUGUUGUUUGCUUAUUUACUGUUAUACUAUGUUGUCAUACUUUACAUGACGUCCUCCACCCCAGAACGUUUCCGUCGUUCUCGGUUUUGGGGUGUGACAAUUAUGGACUUAUGCACAAAAAGGCCCAACUUCUCUUCUUCCUUCUACUUUUCUCGGUCCAACUACAAAGCAAAGGGAGGGAAGAGUUGACUUUUAUUUGCCACCUCACAAUUACACAUGGGAUAUCCAUGCACUCUUCCCAUAUCUCCAUGCAUUUCAACUACCUUAGACUUAUUAAGUAACUACCUUAGACUUGUAUUUAGGUGUAUUUAAGACUAGAAAUUAUCCAUAAACACCAAGAUUAAGGUAUUCACGGCCCAAGAAGUUCUUGGACCGUGAACUCCAAACUCAAAGGCCAAAGAGUGCCUUAAUCACUCCUAAAGCCUUGGAACAAUAGCCUUGAUUUACUCCUAGUUAUUUAGGGACUUUGAAACAUCAAACACCCAUCCCCAUGAGAGAUUAUGGUCGUAAUCUCUAAGGGAAAUGGUCCCAGGGCCGUGAACUUCUCAAAGGAGUGUAUUUAAGCCCUAAACUCUUCCAAGGAUUAAACCACCAAGUGGAAUUACUUCUAGGGAUCAUCUAACACUUCAAAACAACAAAUGACAUUAAGCUUAGGAGCUUACAGCCGUAAACUCAAGGGUUUACGACGUAAACUCCUUGUGUGAGGUUUAUUGAAGAGUAAACUCAUGUAUAGGGUCCUUUGGAACCCUAAACCCAUUAGCCUUGUCCCACAACAACUUAGAUGCAACCCUUAGGACUUAUAACACUUAUGCAAAGUGUUUUCAUGUUCUAGAGUGUCCCAACUUAAUUUAUUAGUUAUAAUUUGGCUAAUUAGUUAUAUAUAUGUUCAUUAUAUGAUAACUAGGCUCGUGCGUGUAUACAAGUCUCCAUUUGCCACCUAGCACUAUAUCUGACACUUCAAUC
rnacentral:lncRNA from 1 species